UGUCUGAGGUUUCAAUGACAUGAUAUGGC
rnacentral:piRNA from 1 species